rnacentral:rRNA from 1 species
AGUUUGAUUAUGGCUCAGAUUGAACGCUGGCGGGAUGCUUUACAUACAAGUCGAACGGCAGCACGGACUUCGGUCUGGUGGCGGAGAGUAAGCGAACGGGUGAGUAAUGUAUCGGAACGUGCCUACAGUAGCGGGGGAUAACUACGCGGCGUAGCCUAAUGCCGCAUACGCCCUUCGAAGCGAAAGCAGGGGACUGAGCCUCGCACUAUUAGAGCAGCCGAUAUCGAUUCGCUAGUUGGUGGGGGUAACGGCUCACCAAGGCGACGAUCCGUAGCUGGUUUGAGAGGACGACCAGCCACUGGGACUGGGGCGGCCCAGACUCCUACAGGAGGCAGCAGUGAGGAAUUUUGAACCACUGGUCCAGCCCAUCCCGCGUGUUGCGAUGAAGACCUUCGGGUUGUAAAGCACUUUUGGCAGGAAAAAGCAGCACAGGAUAAUACCCCGUGCAACUGACAGUACGAUAAGCACCGGCUAACUACGUGCACCCAGCAGCCGCGAUGGCAGCCGUGAGUGCAAGCGUUAAUCGGAAUUACUGGGCGUAAAGCGUGCGCAGGCGGUUCGGAAAGAAAGAUGUGAAAUCCCAGAGCUUAACUUUGGAACUGCAUUUUAACUACCGAGCUAGAGUGUGUCAGAGGGAAGUGGAAUUCCCGCGUGUAGCGGUAAUCCGUAGAUAUGCGGAGGAGCACACCGAUAGCGAAGGCGGCCUCACCAAAUCUUGCAAGCGCUCAUGCACGAAAAGCGUGGGGGGAGCAAACAGGAUUAGAUACCCUGGUAGUCCACGCCCUAAACGAUGUCAACUAGCUGUUGGGGCCUUCGGGCCUUGGUAGCGCAACUAACAUAAGUUGACCCUUCGAAGUGGGUCGCAAGAUUAAAACUCAAAGGAAUUGACGGGGACCCGCACAAGCGGUGGAUGAUGUGGAUUAAUUCGAUUAGCACGAAAAGCGCUACUACCCUUGACAUGUCUGGAAUCGAAGAGAUUUGGGGAGUGCUCAUAGAGAACCGGAACACAGGUGCUGCAUGGCUGUCGUCAGCUCGUGUCGUGAGAUGUUGGGUUAAGUCCACCUUUGAGCAUAACCCUUGUCUUUAGUUGCUACGAAAGGGCACUCUAAUGAGACUGCCGGUGACAAACCGGAGGAAGGUGGGGAUGACGUCAAGUCCUCAUGGCCCUUAUGGGUAGGGCUUCACACGUCAUACAAUGGUCGGGACAGAGGGUCGCCAACCCGCGAGGGGAGCCAAUCCCAGGGAAACCCGAUCGUAGUCCGGAUCGCAGUCUGCAACUCGACUGCGUGAAGUCCGGAAUCGCUAGUAAUCGCCUGGAUCCAGCAUGUCGCGGUGAAUACGUUCCCGGGUCUUGUACACACCGCCCGUCACACCAUGGGAGUGGGUUUUACCAAGAAGUAGUUAGCCUAACCGUAAGGAGGGCGAUUACCACAGUAAGUUCAUGACUGGGGUGAAGUCGUAACAAGGUAG